rnacentral:rRNA from 1 species
UACAGAGGUCUCAAGCGUUGUUCGGAUUCAUUGGGCGUAAAGGGUGCGUAGGCGGCGCGGUAAGUCGGGUGUGAAAUCUCGGAGCUUAACUCCGAAACUGCAUUCGAUACUGCCGUGCUUGAGGACUGGAGAGGAGACUGGAAUUUACGGUGUAGCGGUGAAAUGCGUAGACAUCGUAAGGAAGACCAGUGGCGAAGGCGGGUCUCUGGACAGUUCCUGACGCUGAGGCACGAAGGUCAGGGGAGCAAACGGG